AUGAGACGGAGAUCAACAUCAUCCACCAAAAGUGGAAAAUGUACGAACCCUACAGACCAAGCCCAAAGGGAAGCCCGGAAGAGAGAAUUUAAAAAGAACAAAAAACAGCAUAUGAUGGUACAGCUGCAGUUUUGAAGAUGAAAGAUCUCAAACAGAUUAUCCGGGACAUGGAGAAAUUGGAUGAAAUGGAGUUUAACCCAGUGCAACAACCACAGUUAAAUGAGAAAGUACUGAAAGACAAAUGUAAAAAGCUGAGUGAAACUUUUCAACGUAUUCUGACUUUAUGAAAAAGAGAAUCCAGAUAUUUACAAAGAAUUGAGAAAGCUAGAAGUAGAAUAUGAACAGAAGAGGGCUCAACUUAGCCAAUAUUUUGAUGCUGUCAAGAAUGCUCAGCAUGUGGAAGAAGAGAGUAUUACUUUGCCAGAUAUGCCAUAUGCUCCUUCUAAUAUCUUGAUCCAGGACAUUCCACUUCCUGGUGCCCAGCCACCCUCCAUCCUAAAGAAGACCUCAACCUAUGGAACCCCAACUCAUGCAGUUUCUAUCCUUCCUCUUCUUGGACAUGGUGUUCCACGUUUGCCCCCUGGCAGAAAACCUUGGCCCUCUACCUGGUCCACCUCCUCCCCAAGUCAUGCAGAUGUAUGGCAGUAAAGUGGGCUUUGCUCUAGAUCUUCCCCCUCGUAGGCGAGAUGAAGACAUGUUGUAUAGUCCAGAACUUGCUCAACGGGGCAUGAUGAUGAUGUGUCCAGUACUAGUGAAGAUGAUGGCUAUCCUGAGGACAUGGAUCAGGAUAAGCCGAUGACAGUAGUGAUGACAGUGACACUGACAGAUCAGAUGGAGAAAGUGAGGGGGAUGAAUUUGUGCACGGUGAUGAUAGUGAGAGAGACAAUAAUGAAGAAAAAAUGUCAGGUCUGAGUGUACGAUUUGAAGAUAUGCCUGGAAAAUCAAGGAAGAAAAAGAAGAACAUGAAGGAGCUGACUCCUCUUCAAGCCAUGAUGCUUCGAAUGGCGGGUCAGGAAAUCCCAAAGGAAGGACGGGAAGUAGAGAAAUUUUCAAAGGAUGAUGAUGAAGAUGGUUCUGAUGAUUCUGAAGCAGAAAAACAAUCACAAAAACAGCAUAAAGAGGACCCUCAUACUGAUGGCACGUCUACUGCUUCUUCACAGCAGCAGGCUCCCCCGCAGUCUGUUCCUCCUUCUCAGAUACAAGCACCUCCCAUGCCAGGACCACCUCCUCUUGGACCACCACCUACUCCACCUUUACAACCUCCUGGGCCACCCAUGGGCCUUCCUCCUGGACCACCUCCAGGGGUUCCUCCAUUUUUGAGACCUCCUGGAAUGCCAGGAUUCCAAGGGCCUUUACCAUGACUUUUACCUCCAGGACCACCACCAGGCCAACCCCCUGGCCCUACCCCAGGUCCACCUCCAGGUCUGCCUCCUGGCCCUCCUCCUCGGGGACCCCCACCAAGGGUACCUCCCCCUGCACCUCCAGGCAUCCCUCCUCCUCUCCCUGGCAUGAUGUGCCCACCUUUGGUGCCUCCACUUGAACCUGCCCCACCUGGGCUUUUCCAUCGGCUCCCUUGCCGAAUCCAGGGGUGUUGAGUGCCCCACCCAACUUGAUUCAGCGAUCCAAGGCGGAUGAUACAAGUGCAGCCACCACUGAGAAGAAAGCCACAGCAACUAUCAGUGCCAAGCCACAGAUCACUAAUCCCAAGGCAGAGAUUACUCGAUUUGUACAUCGGGAGAAAAAAGGGGCUACUGCUACUCCCAAAGAAAGUCAGAGGAUGAUUCUGCUGUGCCUCUUGCCAAAGCAGUCCCCAAAUCUGGUCCUUCUGUCCCUAUCUCAGUACAAACUAAGGAUGAUGUUUAUGAAGCUUUCAUGAAAGAAAUAGAAGGGCUGCUAUGA